GCGGUGAAUGAAGCAGCCGCGGCAUGAGACAUUAUGUCGAGGAAAGUCCGGGCUCCGCAGGGCGCGAUGCCGGGUAACACCCGGGGGUUUCGGGGCCCAAGCUCCGAAACUACGGAAAGUGCAACAGAAAAGAUACCGCCGGCGUCAGGCCUUUUGGCCGGCGCCGGUAAGGGUGAAAUGGCGGGGUAAAAGCCCACCUCGGCGGCGGUAACGCCGCCGGAACUGCAAACCCCAUCGGGAGCAAGGUCAAACAGCGCCUGUCCCUGUUCAGGGAACGGCUCCGUCUUUGACGGAACCGGAAGCUGCCCGCUUAUGGCGCGGGUAGACCGCUUGAGACGGCCGGUAACGGCCGCCCCAGAUAGAUGGCUGCCGCCUCGAACUUCAGGCCGAAGGGCAGAAACGUUUUCCGCAGGAAAACGAAUUUUUGCCUCGAACGCCAGUGAGAGGCAUAAACAGAACCCGGCUUAUGAUUUCACCGCCUUU
rnacentral:RNase_P_RNA from 1 species